rnacentral:tRNA from 2 species
ACCCGGCUAGCUCAAUUGGUAGAGCGUGGGACUUUUAAUCCCAAGGUUGGGGGUUCGAGCCCCCCGUUGGGUG